AUAUAUGGGAGAUAUAUUUGCAUUGUGGCAAUUUAGGAUGAGCACAGAUCUAUACUGAUCAUUCCAGAAACAACAUUCAAUGCAAGGUGGAGACUUAUUGCAGUUAAGGUUGGAAGAUUCAUUAAUGCAGAAAGGUUGAAGUCAGAAUCAUUCCCUCAUUAACUAAAGAUCCCAACACAUUUUAUUUAAAAUCACUCAAGCAAAACAGAUGGACAACAAAAGGAACUCAUGAGUCGCCCGUAGAAACUUCAAGUUUGAGAAUCAUUAUUUAGGGGGGUGCUGAAGUGGCUGGUGAUGAUCUUUUGGUAAGAUGUAUUGUUGGAAUGUUCAAGAUUGGUUUGUAAGAGAUCCCAACUCUAAAUGAGGUCCGACGAUGGGCAUGUUCCCAAUGAAAAGCGUCACAUAGUCUGAAUGUCUAUGCAAUGAAUGGUUUCACGUAUCUCUUUGAAUUGCCAUCAAGGAAGAUAGUUGAGCAGAUCAUCACGGGAAAAUGAAGAUGGAAGAAAUCCAAAUUUUAUCUUCAAUGAUGGUCUCCUAAUGCAGGUUGUUGACCAGCAAAUGUAAAUAGAGAUUGGGUUUGGAUUCGAUUAAUAGGUCUGCCACUUAAUCUAUGGUCGCAUAAAGUGUUCAAUAUUUUUGCGGAGGUUGGAUCGAGAAUGAAGAAGAAACUUAUAUGAAAAAUUAUCUGAGAUGGGCUAGGGUUAAGGUAAAAGGAGAUUGAGAUAAUAUACCUAAAGAAGUGAAAGUUGAGUUCAGUGAUGUAGUCUACAAAAUUCCUAUCUGGUGUAAAGUUUCGGCACUGGUGGUCAUCAGAGAUGAAACUGGUUUGGUGAUCAAAGCUCAUAAAGCCUAUAUUAUAGAGGGAGAUGUGACAGAACAGGUGGCACAGGCUGGAUUUUGUACUACACACGCGGGCUCAUCGUCUUCUAUUCCAGAUUCAACUAAAGACUCACGUGCGCUUGACUAGAGCCUCUUUACCACUUUUGGGCUAGUCCAUCAUGCAAACAGUGCCCAACAAGGAUAUUAUUAAGGGGCCUAUUUCCCAGGAGCUUUUUACACUAAUAUCUCCAGCCCAUUCAAUUCCAAUUGAGUCUGCUAAAACAUAUACGCUACUUUUGAAAAUUUAGGCGAAUAGAACAAUGAAAGAUUUGUUCUCAAAAGAAAUUGAUGAAGGAAUAGAAGCUCAGAGACUACAACUUGAAGGGUAUGAACAACAACAAAGGCAAGUCUGUCUCUGUCCCAAGAACAAGAUAUGCAAUUGGUAGAAGUGGUUGGAGAAACAUUAUGGGUGUGUGAAGAUGCCGAACCUAUUGAUGCGCGGGCAGAAGAAGCAGAUAUGAAGGCAACUAUUUGGGUUCACAGCGACAUAAUCAGAUUCACUAAUAAAUUUAGUGUAGAUUUCUAGGGCUGUGAAAAAGGAGGCAUUGGCUUUAUUUAUGAAGAUUGACAACAGGAGGAAGCAAAACAAACCAGUAGAUGAAAAGGUCAUUACUGCAACACCAAAGUUCAAGGGAAUACACGAAGUGAAGGGGCUAGUUUUUGACAUGAAAUUCAAAGAGGGUGGGUCGAGGUGCAGAAGUAGGGGAAGGGUUACAAUUGAAGAUAAUCCAUGAAUCUCAAAAUUCUUUCAUGGAACGUGAGGGGUUUAAAUAAGAAGGACAAAAGAACUAUGGUGAAUAGUCUAAUUCACAAGUGGAAAGCAGAUAUGUAUAUUGCUUCCAAGAAACAAAGUUAGAAGGAGAAGUAGCAGAGAUGGUGAAACAAAUCUGGCCUAACAAGCGUGUUAGGUUUGGUUGUUUGGAGGUUAGUGGUACGAGGGGAGGUAUAAUUAUAUUGUGGGAUAGUAGAGUUUGGAAAGGAGAGGUAGUAAAAUUGGAGCUCACUCUUUGACAUGUUAUUUUGAGGCUCGAAGUCAGAACUUUACAUGGAACCUAACAGGGAUUUAUGGGUCAAACACUAGAAAGGGAAAAAAAGAGUUAUGGGAGGAAGUAGGGUCUUCUAGGGAACUUUUUGAUGGACCUUGGGUAGUAUGUGGAGAUUUCAACACUACUCGUUUCACUUCAGAUAAGAAGGACAAUGAUAGACUGACAAGAGCUAUGACUAAUUUCUCAACUUUUAUUGAAGACUUGGAGCUUAUUGAUCCUCCCCUAUCUGGAGAAAAUCUUACUUGGGCUAGGAGUUACAGACAUGAAAUUUCCAACAGGUUGGAAAGAUUCCUUAUAUCAACAGAAUAGAAUGAGGAAUUCAUAAAUAUAAAACAAUCAGUGCUUCCAAGAGUUACUUCAGAUCAUAUUCCUAUUGAACUACUAUGUGGAAAUUCGGAGCUAACAAAUCAUACUUCAAGUUUGAGAAUUGGUGGCCGCAAGUGGAGGGUUUUCAUGAGUUGGUGAAGAACUGGUGGGAUUCUUUUGAUUUUGCAGGUAGACCAGAUUACAUAUUGGCUAGCAAACUAAAAUCUCUGAAAAAUAAGCUUAAGAAUUAGAAUAAACUUUGUACGCGGAGUUUGGAGAGGCAAAAGAAUAACAUCCUGGCCCAAAUUUCAGAUUUGAAUAGGGUACACGAUGAAAGAAUUUUGUCUAAGGAUGAAUUUUUACUGAAAUCCAAUCUAUGUAUGAAUUUUGAGAAGCUAGCAAAAAAUAAAGAAAUAUAAUGGAAACGGAGGUCUAUGGCUAUAUGGCUGAAGAAGGGGGAUAAAAACACUAAGUUCUUUCAAAAAACUGCUAAUGCACACCUAAGAUUUAACUAUAUUGAUCAGCUACUUAUUGAUGGGAAAACUGUGAAGGAACCUGCAGAUAUCAAGAGGCAUAUAUUGUCCCUUUAUCAUAAGUUUUACACUGAAACAGAGCUAUGGAGGCCUAGUCUCAACAUCAGCAAUCGUCCCAGGUUAUCCGAAGAUGAAAAGCUAAGGUCGCAAAGGCCAUUUGAGGAGAAGGAGGUUUUGCAUAUCAUCAAGCAAAGUUCUAUUGAUAAGGGCCCAGGUUCCGAUGGCUAUACGAUGGGUUUUUUCAGUACAUGUUGGGAGAUAAUUAAGGGGGAUAUUAUGAACAUUGUCCAUAACUUUCACCCUAGGGAACUUCUUGAAAAAAGGUUUUAAUGCUACCUAUGUAGCUUUGAUCCCAAAGAAGAAUGGAGCAAAGGAACUGAAGGACUUUAGACCUAUCAGGUUGAUAGGUCAAUCUACAACAUCAUUUCUAAGUUGCUAACAGAGAGAUUAAAGGAGGUAAUAUUUAAGCUGGUGAAUAAACAACUGAUGGCUUUUAUAAAGGCCAGAGAAAUUAUGGAUGCAGUUUUGAUUGCGAAUGAGUAUGUGGACUCUAGAUUAAAAGAAAAGGUGCAUGGGAUCUUAUGCAAAUUAGAUAUAGAAAAAGCUUUCGACCAUAUCAAUUGGGGAUUCCCUCUGAAGCAGUUGGAAAAUAUGGAAUUUGGAAGGAAAUGAAUAAACUAAAUAAAAUUUUGCAUCAAAAAUGUCAGGUUCUCUAUUCUUAUAAAUGAUUCACCGUAAGGCUUUUUUCCAUCGUAUAGGGGUCUAAGGCAAGGUGACCCCUUAUCCCCUUUCCUGUUCAGCUUGGUUAUGGAAGGACUCAAUAACAUGAUACAAGUAGCAAAAUAAAACAAAUGGACUAGGAGAUUUAAAUUGCUUAACAGACGUGACUCAGGCCUGGAGAUCACACAUUUGCUUUAUGCAAAUGACUCACUUAUACUAUGUGAAGCUAAAGGAAGAUCAACCGAGGAUGAUCAGAAUGAUUCUCACUAUAUUUGAAGGAAUUUCUUGCAUACAUAUUAACAGGAGCAAAAGCUUGUUAUUUUCUGUCAAUCUAAUCCUUGAUAUGGAGAGCCUGGCACAAAUUCUAGAGGCCAAAGUAGGUAAUCUACCGACAACAUACAUGGAAAUGCCUAUGGGAGCAAAAAUCAAAUCUCUGGAGAUCUGGAAUGGCAUUUUGGAGAGGUGUGAGAAAAAGCUUAUAAAAUGGAGAAAUCAAUAUCUAUCCUUGGGAGGUAUAUUAACCUUGAUCAAUAGUGUGUUUAUAUCCUUUUCCUACAUAUAUGAUAUCUUUGUUCUCAAUUCCUACAAAGGUAGAAAAGAGAUUAGACAAAUUAAGAAGUAGCUUUCUAUGGCAUGGGAAUAAGGAAAAAGAAGGUUUCAAUCUAGUUAGAUGGAAAACUGUCACAUUAUGUAAGAAGUAUGAAGGUCUUGGUAUUAGGAAUCUGAGGAAACACAAUCAGAGUCUUCUCAUGAAAUGGUUAUUGAGAUUUACCACAGAAGAAAAUACACUUUGGAGAUAAGUAAUUAGCGGCAAGUAUGGGAGGAGGGGCUAUAGACAACUAAAAAGAUAACUACUCCUUAUGGGGUGGGGUGUGGAGAUUUAUUAGGAACCUAUGGCCCGUCUUCAACAAUGAUAAUGGUUUUAGGGUGGGGAAUGGUAUGAAGGUCUUAUUCUAAGAGGAUAAUUAGUUGGGACAGAGAGCUUUAAAGAUAUUUUUUCCAAAUAUUUAUAUCGUAAGUCAAUAACAUGGAUGUAAAAUUAGAGAAGUUUGGACUCAUCAGGGAUGGGACCUAACUUUCAGAAGAUUUUUAAAUGAUUGAAAAAUUAUGAAAAUUACUAAUUUCUAUAAAGUGCUUGGAUAGUUCAAGGGCACAAAACAAAAGGAAGGCAGAUUAUGGAGGCAAGACAACAAUUAGGGAAUCUUCAGAGUCAAAGCUAUCUAUGGGACUAUCAAUAAAGCUCCCAUUCAGCUAGAACCGUGGCUAUUAAAAUAUAUAUGGAAAGUUAAAAUCCCAUACAAUGUGGCAGUGAUAAAAGAGGCUAGUUUAACUAAAGAAAAUCUGAUGAAAAGAGGCUUUCUAUUGUGUUCUAGAUGCCAUCUAUGUGGCAGGAGGGCUGAGACCAACUGUAAUCUAUUUUUGCAUUGUGAGGUUACCUCACAUAUCUCGAACAUUUUAUUGUGUAUGAAAGGUUUCUCUUGGGCAAUGCAAAAAAGCUCCUUGGAAUUGCUUAAAUGCUGGAACAUGCCGAAAAGCAGAUAGAAGAUGAUACCACCAUGCAUUUUGUUGACUAUCUGGACAUAAAGAAAUCUAAGAUGUUUUGAUGGUACAGACAUCCCAAUUCAGAAGAUCAAGAUGAAUGCCCUUUUUGUUUUUGGUGUAAAGACAAAUUUACAGUCAAUACUGAAUCUAUUCUAGAGAUUUUAGAUCCCUAGUAAGUUGUAUAGGUAUUUUUUUCCUCGUUUCUUCCGCUUUCUCUCCUUUAAAUAUGGCUUUGGCACAUCUUUAGUUCUCUGAUAUAUGAAAAUUCUUACCAUUCUCAAAAAGUGAAGUGUUACGUGUGUCUAAAGGGUUAGGACCUUGUCUACUAGAAUCCUAGUGGUGCAAUGAGGAGGUGACAAUGAGUUAUUAGAGCUAAAAGAGAGUGCUAUAUGAAUUAUCAAAAGAAGAAGAUAGAGAAGACUUUGAAGAGUAUAAAAGUGCUAAGACAGAAGUUAUAAAGGCUAUGAAUAAUGCUCGAGGGGAAGCCUUAGAUGAUAUUUAAGUGGAAAAAGACGGAACCUAGUAUUUAAGUGAUGUUUAAUUUAAGUGGACAAGGAUAGAGUGCCAGGCUAUUAUCCACCGAGAUCUGAAUCGUGCGCCACUGGUUCUCGAGGUAAAAACUUACCCGCACCAAAGUGACAAAUGUCAUUUGUUUAUUAGUUAGAUGCAAGCAUCCAGUGCGAGUAAGUUUUUACCCCUAAUAUGGGAAGUUUCCAAAACUACAUUGAUUUGUGAACCACUUAUGCUUAUGAUUGACUUUGUUGAAAAUGCUUUUCUAUUCCAAAGAAGGGAAAAAGACCAAAAAUACCCCUCUACUAUGUGAAAAAGAUCAUAUAUACUCUCUGUUAUAUUAUCCGUUCAUCACAGCUCCCAAAAUUACAGAGUUGGUACAAAUAUACCCUCCACUGUUAGGGCCCUCCACCAUGGCUAACACCCUCCCAAGUGGCCUAAGAUGAUAUGCCACCUCAUCAGCCUUUAGUACUGCUGGACGCAUACUUGAUCCAUUUAGGAGUUCAUUGUCUCCUAGAUUGGUUCAAGCUCCUGUAUGUGUCCAAGAAUGGCUUCGAAAUGAAUCAACAACUCCGGUUAAAAUUGAAGAAGAUUUAGAUAAUCUUGAACAACUUGAAGCUGACUUUAUUAAUACCGGAAGAGAGCCUUGCAUCGUCGAAAUAUAGCGAUGAAGAUUACUGUUUGCUAUUGCCGUGUUGCUGAACUUGAAAGCAAGCCAAGAUUGAGUGGGAUGGCCAUAGAAGUUGGAACUUGGAACUCUUUUGUAUAAUCUAUUAAUGAAUUCUUGUUGAGGAUUUCAGUUUAUUAGACAUCUAUUUGGGAUUUCAGUUAAUUUUAUUUUGCUAUGAAGAUUGUGUUUUGUUUAUGUAAUGGAUUCUACCACAAGAAUUGGGAUUUGGAGCUUUCCUUUUCUUCU